CUUUGUUUUCCUAAAUGUAUGUCAAAAGAUCUGCUAGUUUUUAGACUGCUGGAACUGCCCAAUAAUUUGGAUGAGAGUCAUCCUUCUUCUAUAGAAUUCUAUAAAAAAGUAAUCAGAUAGUGGGCAUGGUGGCUGGAAGGUGCCUGUAAUUCCACCGGCUAGGGGAAAUUGAUGCAGAGGAUCACUUGAGCCCAGGGGUUCGAGACCAGCCUCGGAAAGAAAAAAAAAAUUAAAAGAAAAGUAAUCCGUAUCCAAUGACUUCGGCUAACUGAGAGGUGUUUUCUUGUCUGGUUUGGCCUGACUGGCACACAGAGGAGGCCGUCAAUGAGGUGAAGCGCCAGGCGAUGACGGAGCUGCAGAAGGCCGUGUCUGAGGCGGAGCGGAAAGCCCACGACAUGAUCACAACAGAGAGGGCCAAGAUGGAGCGCACGGUCGCCGAGGCCAAACGGCAGGCGGCGGAGGACGCGCUGGCAGUUAUCAAUCAGCAGGAGGAUUCAAGCGAGAGUUGCUGGAAUUGUGGCCGUAAAGCGAGUGAAACCUGCAGUGGCUGUAACACAGCCCGAUACUGUGGCUCAUUUUGCCAGCACAAAGACUGGGAGAAGCACCAUCACAUCUGUGGACAGACCCUGCAGGCCCAGCAGCAGGGAGACACACCUGCAGUCAGCUCCUCUGUCACGCCUAACAGCGGGGCUGGGAGCCCGAUGGACACACCACCAGCAGCCACUCCGAGGUCAACCACCCCGGGAACCCCUUCCACCAUAGAGACAACCCCUCGCUAGAC
rnacentral:sRNA from 1 species